UACGUAGGGGCCUAGCGUUGUCCGGAUUUAUUGGGCGUAAAGAGCUCGUAGGCGGUUCGGUAAGUCAGGUGUGAAAUCUCCACGCUCAACGUGGAGGCGCCACCUGAAACUGCCGUGACUCGAGUCCGGUAGGGGAGUGUGGAAUUCCUGGUGUAGCGGUGAAAUGCGUAGAGAUCCGGAGGAACCCCAGAGGCGAAGGCGGCGCUCUGGCUCGCAACUGACGCUCAGACACGACAGCAUGGGGAGCGAACGGG
rnacentral:rRNA from 1 species